CCCCAAGUCAGGAUGGAACACCCGCUCACUUUAAGCAUAUCAAUAAGCGGAGGA
rnacentral:rRNA from 1 species